AUGCUCCUUAUAAUUUCCUAUGUGUGUUCUAUUGUUUUACAGGUUGAGAAAUUAGGAGAUACCUAUUACCUCUUAAAAAGAAAUGUAGUCCUUGCUGAUACUGGGAAAUAUAUCUGUGUUGCCAGCAAUGAAGUUGGAAAGGCACACUGUUCUGCUGUUGUAACAGUGAUAGAGAAAAAUAAAACCCCAGAAAUUUCCACUGUAACUCAGACUAAAUCAGAAUGGAAAGAUGGAUAUUUUUCAGAAAAAGUGCAUGUCACCACAGGUGAACUACUACAAACCCAGGACACAUUUUAUGUGAGAGAUCAAAGGCCAGUCACUAAACAUCUCCCAUUAAGGUUUAAAGAGAAACUCUGGCUUCAAGGAGUGUAUGUUGAACUUGUGAGGCCAACAGAGGUUAGCUUCAGUUUGGAACAUGAUCCUGUUCUUCUGCGUGCUUCAGAGGAUCAGAUGGACUGAACUACAAAAUACCUGAUUCAUGAGAGCGUUCGUUUUGUUUGCUGUGUCCAUUAUUGGGUGUUGACCAUGUGUGAGGAGAAAAUGAGUCUUUGAGUGCUAUUUGGUUUAUAUGUAGGUUACAAUUUGUAUUUUGGUUUCUCUGUAACUCAUCAUUAAUAAAAAUCCAUCUGUGCACA
rnacentral:lncRNA from 1 species